rnacentral:rRNA from 1 species
CCGUGCAAAGGUAGCACAAUCACUUGUUCUUUAAAUCAGGACUAGUAUGAAUGGCCUCACGAGAGCUAUACUGUCUCCCUCCCCCAAUCAGUGAACCUAAUCUCCCCGUGAAGAAGCGGGGAUACCACUAUAAGACGAGAAGACCCCAUGGAGCUUAAAAUUUGUACCACCUCCACAACUACACCAACCAACCUAAACAGGCAUGACUACUAAUCUUUUGGCUGGGGCGACCGCGGAGAAAAACUUAACCUCCACGAUGAUCUGUAAUCUAAGAACCACACUUCUAAGAACCAAUAUAUUGACAUAAUUGACCCAAACACUGACCAACGAACCAAGUUACCCUGGGGAUAACAGCGCAAUCCAUUUCAAGAGACCCCAUCGACAAAUGGGCUUACGACCUCGAUGUUGGAUCAGGGUGUCCUAGUGG